UACGAAGGGGGCUAGCGUUGUUCGGAAUUACUGGGCGUAAAGCGUGCGCAGGCGGCUCUCGAAGUCAGGGGUGAAAGCCCAGAGCUCAACUCUGGAAUUGCCUUUGAGACUGAGUGGCUUGAGUACGAGAGAGGUGAGUGGAAUUCCCAGUGUAGAGGUGAAAUUCGUAGAUAUUGGGAAGAACACCGGUGGCGAAGGCGGCUCACUGGCUCGUAACUGACGCUCAUGCACGACAGCGUGGGGAUCAAACAGG
rnacentral:rRNA from 1 species